GGCCAAGCUAGCAAGUCGGGCUUCAGAUCCAUGAAACCCCCGGGAGGAGAGUCGAACGAUAUUUUUGGAAGCCCAGAAGAAGGUGUUCCUUCAAGCAAGCCUCAUAGGAUGGCAUCUAAUAUUUUUGGACCAACCGAAGAACCUAAAAACAUACCCAAGAGGACAAAUCCUCCAGGAGGCAAAGGAAGUGGAAUCUUUGAUGAAUCAACUCCUGUGCAAACUCGACAACGUCUGAAUCCACCCGGUGGAAAGACCAGUGACAUAUUUGGGUCGCCAGUCACUGCCACUGCACCUCUGGCACACCCAAACAAGCCCAAGGUAUGGACUAUAUUCAUAUAGCCAGACAAGAGAGAAAAGUAAAAGUUGUGUCAAGUUCACCUUCCAAAAAGUUCUAAAGCAGGUGUGACGAACUAUUA
rnacentral:lncRNA from 1 species